GAAACAAACAAAAUAUGAAAGAUCAAUGAAACAAAAAGCUUGUUCUUUGAAAAGAUAAACAAAAUUGACAUACUAUCAGUGAGAUUAACCAAGAACAGUGAGGAUUCAAAUAAGCUCAAUUAGAAAUGAAACUGGAGAUAUUACGACUGAUAUCACAGAAAUACAAAAGAUCAUUCAAGGCUACAUGAACACCUUUAUGUGCAUAAGCUAGAAAACCUGGAGGAGAUGGAUAAAUUUCUGAAAAUAUACAGCACUCCCUAGAUUAAACCAGGAAGAUAUAGAAACUAUGAACAGACCAAUAACAAGCAGCAAGAUUGAAAUGGUAAUAAAAAAAAAAUUGCCAACCAAGAAAACUUCCAGGACCAGAUGGAUUUACAGCUGAAUUCUAUCAGAUAUUUAAAGAAGAAUGGGUAGCAAUCCUAUUGAUAUUAUUUCAAAAGAUAAAGAGGGAAUCUUCUCUGUAUUAUUCUAUGAAGCCAGUAUCACCCUAAUACCAAAACCAGGAAAUGACAUAACAAAAAAGGAAAACUACAGACCGAUAUCCCUGAUGAGCACAGAUGCAAAAAUCCUUAAGAAAAUACUAGCUAACCAAAUGCAACAGCAUAUCAAAAAGAUAAUACAUCAUGAUCAAGUAGAUUUGAUAACAGGGAUGCAAGGAUGGUACAACAUAUGCAAGUCGAUAAAUGUGAUACACCACAUCAACAGAAUUAAAAACAAAAAUCACAUGAUCAUCUCAAUAGAUGCAGAAGAAGUAUUUGACAAAAUCCAGCAUCACUUUAUGAUUAGAACUCUCAGCAAAAUUGGCACACAAGGAACAUACCUCAGUGUAACAUAAGCCAUCUAUGACAAACACACAGCCAACAUAAUACUGAAUGAGGAAAAGUUGAAAGCAUUCCCCUGAGAACUGGAACAAGACAAGGAUGCCCACUUUUUUUAUUAUUUAUUUUUUUUGAGUCAAGGUCUCACUCUGUUGCCCAGGCUGGAGUGCAGUGGCACCAUCUCAAUUCACUGCAACCAUCUCAAUUCACUGCAACUUCUGCCUUCCAGGUUCAAGUGAUUCUCCUGCCUCAGGAGGGAUUCUCCUGAUUAGGUGGGAUUAGAGGCACCUGCCACCAUGCCCGGUAAAUUUUUGUAUUUUUAGUAGAGGUGGAAUUUCACCAUGUUGGCUAGGCUGGUCUCGAACUACUGGCCUCAAGUGAUCUGCCCGCCUCGGCCUCCCAAAGUGCUGGGAUUACAGGCAUGAGCACCAGGCCCAGCUGGAUGCCCACUCUUACCACUUCUAUUCAACAUAGCACUGGAAAGUCCUAGCCAGAACAAUCAGACAAGAGAAGGAAAUAAAGGGCAUCCAAUUGUGAAAAUAUUGAACCAGCCCAAAUGUCCAUCAAUCAACAAGUGGACAAAGAAAUCGUGGUAUAUGUAUAUAUAUCACAGAACGCUACUCAGCCAUAAAAAGGAACGGAAUGAUGGCAUUCAUAGCAACCUGUAUGGAAUUGGAGACCAUUAUUCUAAGUGAAGUAACUCAGGAAUGGAAAACAAAACAUCUUACAUUCUCUCUCAUAAGUGGGAGCUAAGCUGUGAGGAUGCAAAAACAGUGGUGAAGAAGAAGAGGAUCUAACAAUGGAAAAAGAAAACGAAUGGUAACAGAAGUGUUAAAGAAACAGAAAAUUGAGAGUCUAACAUGAAAUUCACAGGAAAGUAACUUUAAGAAGAAAGAGGAAGUUGACAGCCUCAAAUGCUAUAGAAAAUUUACUAAAAAGGUUGCAAAAGUUAUGGCCUAAUAUCUUUGCUUCCAUUUAUUCCAUUAGCACAAUUUGUAAGUCCUUGGCUUUUGCUUGCCUUAUGCUGCCCUGCCCAAGAGAGAAUGUGGUGAUAAUGAGGUAUUAGAGCCAUAGCUGCCAGGGUACAACAGUGACCUAGCCCUUAAGUUUAGCUUCUCAUGUUGUAUGUCUAUUAUGUUCUAAAUAAAGGUAGACGCCAAGUCUCUUCUAA